rnacentral:rRNA from 1 species
UGGGGAAUAUUGCACAAUGGGCGCAAGCCUGAUGCAGCCAUGCCGCGUGUAUGAAGAAGGCCUUCGGGUUGUAAAGUACUUUCAGCGGGGAGGAAGGGAGUAAAGUUAAUACCUUUGCUCAUUGACGUUACCCGCAGAAGAAGCACCGGCUAACUCCGUGCCAGCAGCCGCGGUAAUACGGAGGGUGCAAGCGUUAAUCGGAAUUACUGGGCGUAAAGCGCACGCAGGCGGUUUAUUAAGUCAGAUGUGAAAUCCCCGGGCUCAACCUGGGAACGGCAUCUGAUACUGGCAAGCUUGAGUCUCGUAGAGGGGAGUAGAAUUCCAGGUGUAGCGGUGAAAUGCGUAGAGAUCUGGAGGAAUACCGGUGGCGAAGGCGGCCCCCUGGACGAAGACUGACGCUCAGGUGCGAAAGCGUGGGGAGCAAACAGG